GGAAGAAUUGAACUGGUUAGAACCACCCUCUACACAAUGGCAAUUUAUCGGAUAAUGGCGAUUGCGCCGCCAAAGUGGUUCAUCAAGAUGGUGGAUAGGCUGCGUAGAGGCUUCCUUUGGGCAGCGGACGAGGUAUCGCCGGCUGGUAAAUGCUUAGCAAGAUGGAGCAAUGUUUGUCGGCCUCGGGAGCUCGGAGGGCUGGGCAUCAAUGACCUGCAGAGACAGGGAAGCACCUUACAGGCCCGCUGGUGUUGGCUCACAUGGACUGAUAGAGACCAGCCUUGGGGUAAUCUGAUCCUGCCGAGCGACCCCGACGCGGAGGCUAUAUUCCGUGCCUCGUCAACGAUCUGCAUCGGCGAUGGGUGA
rnacentral:rRNA from 1 species